CUGUACCUAGAACAUAGAUACAGAGCCACUUGUCAUCAGGAAGCUGCUCUCUCAGCACAACGGAAAAUAUCUCAAUGACUUGACAUGUUCUGGUUGUGAAUUCAGGCUACAAGUUGAAAAUCGUCUUUCAGAAUAUCGGAAAAUGUGUUGUUUUCUAAACUACAAUGAGCUCCUGCUUCCUGUGUAAUUUGGGGACAGUGCUCUAAAAUGAGCAUCUCGGGAGAGAGAAAGGAGGCGGUCCCUGCCUCUAAAAUGAGUCUCUCUGGGGAACAUGACACCAAAGCUAAGAGGUGAGAUGACAAUUUUUGUUGUUUAAGUUCUUUGUUUCUAAAACGUUAUAUCCACAAUUUUUUCACAUUAGUUAUUUGCAACUGAAAUGAUUGUUAUGGGUACCUUCAGGUCUGUAAAAUAUUGUUGUUCUAUAGAAUUUAUAGAAUUUUAGCAUGACACAAUCAUUUAGCCUACUCUUAAAACUUCUAUGGGCUAUGUGGGACGCUAGCGUCCCACCCGCGGUACACACUAUCAACAGCCAGUGAAAUAUCAGAGCGACAAAUUUGAAAACAACAAAAUGUCAUAAUUCAAAUUUCUAAAACAUACAACUAUUUUACACCAUUUGAAAGAUAAACAUCUCCUUAAUCUAACCACGUUGUCCGAUUUCAAAAAGGCUUUACGGCGAAAGCAUAAAGUUAGAUUAUGUUAGGACAGUACAUAGACAAAACAUUACAC